AGAGUUUGAUCCUGGCUCAGAAUCAACGCUGGCGGCGUGCCUAACACAUGCAAGUCGAACGCGAAAGCGGCUUCGGCCGUAAGUAGAGUGGCAAACGGGUGAGUAACGCGUGGGUGACCUGCCUUCGAGUGGGGGAUAACGUUUCGAAAGGAACGCUAAUACCGCAUAACAUCCCGUCCUUAGAGGGACGGUGAUCAAAGCUGGGGAUCGCAAGACCUAGCGCUUGAAGAGGGGCCCGCGUCCGAUUAGCUAGUUGGUAGGGUAAUGGCCUACCAAGGCAACGAUCGGUAGCCGGCCUGAGAGGGCGGACGGCCACACUGGGACUGAGACACGGCCCAGACUCCUACGGGAGGCAGCAGUGAGGAAUUGUUCGCAAUGGGCGCAAGCCUGACGACGCAACGCCGCGUGGAGGACGAAGAUCUUCGGGUCGUAAACUCCUGUCGAGCGGGACGAACCUCACCCGGGUCAAUACCCCGGGUGCCUGACGGUACCGCUAAAGGAAGCCCCGGCUAACUCCGUGCCAGCAGCCGCGGUAAUACGGGGGGGGCAAGCGUUGUUCGGAAUUACUGGGCGUAAAGAGCUCGUAGGCGGCCAACUAAGUCGGACGUGAAAUCCCUCGGCUCAACCGAGGAACUGCGUCCGAGACUGG
rnacentral:rRNA from 1 species